GUCUAUGGCCAUACCACCCUGAACACGCCCAAUCUCGUCUGAUCUCAGAAGCUAAGCAAGGUCAGGCCAGGUUAGUACUUGGAUGGGAGAAUGUGACUGCAUUUAGAAACAGGGUCUUUAAAGAAG
rnacentral:rRNA from 1 species